rnacentral:misc_RNA from 1 species
GAUGAAGAACGCAGUGAAAUGCGAUACGUAAUGUGAAUUGCAGAAUUCAGUGAAUCAUCGAAUCUUUGAACGCACAUUGCGCCCCCUGGUAUUCCGGGGGGCAUGCCUGUCCGAGCGUCAUUACAACCCUCAAGCUCAGCUUGGUGUUGGGCCCCGCCGCCCCGGCGGGCCCUAAAGUCAGUGGCGGUGCCGUCCGGCUCCGAGCGUAGUAAUUCUUCUCGCUCUGGAGGCCCGGUCGUGUGCUCGCCAGCAACCCCCAAUUUUUUUCAGGUUGACCUCGGAUCAGGUAGGGAUACCCGCUGAACUUAAGCAUAUCAAUAAGCGAGGA